UCCGAGUUGUCCCCGGCAGUCUCAUUAGAGUGCCCAACUAAAUGAUGGCAACUAAUGACAAGGGUUGCGCUCGUUGCGGGACUUAACCCAACAUCUCACGACACGAGCUGACGACAGCCAUGCAGCACCUGUGUUACGGCUCCCGAAGGCACUCCCGCAUCUCUGCAGGAUUCCGUACAUGUCAAGGGUAGGUAAGGUUUUUCGCGUUGCAUCGAAUUAAUCCACAUCAUCCACCGCUUGUGCGGGUCCCCGUCAAUUCCUUUGAGUUUUAACCUUGCGGCCGUACUCCCCAGGCGGUCAACUUCUCGCGUUAGCUUCGUUACUGAGGAAUCACUUCCCCAACAACCAGUUGACAUCGUUUAGGGCGUGGACUAC
rnacentral:misc_RNA from 1 species